rnacentral:rRNA from 1 species
CGGCAAGAGCUCAAAUUUGAAUCCGGCCCCCCCGGGGGCCUGAGUUGUAAUUUGCAGAGGAUGCUUCGGGCGCGACCGCGGUCCAAGUCCCCUGGAACGGGGCGUCGUAGAGGGUGAGAAUCCCGUCUCCGGCCGGCCGGUCUCGCCCGUGUGAAGCUCCUUCGACGAGUCGAGUUGUUUGGGAAUGCAGCUCCAAAUGGGUGGUAAAUUUCAUCUAAAGCUAAAUACUGGUCGGAGACCGAUAGCGCACAAGUAGAGUGAUCGAAAGAUGAAAAGCACUUUGAAAAGAGAGUUAAACAGCAUGUGAAAUUGUUGAAAGGGAAGCGCUUGCGACCAGAGUCGGCCGCGGGGGUUCAGCGGGCAUUCGUUGCCCGUGCAAUCCCCCGCGGCCGGGCCAGCGUCGGUUUCGACGGCCGGUCAAAGGCCCCCGGAAUGUGUCGCCUCUCGGGGCGUCUUAUAGCCGGGGGUGCAAUGCGGCCAGUCGGGACCGAGGAACGCGCUCCGGCACGGACGCUGGCUUAAUGGUCGUCAGCGACCCGU